GUAGUCACUUAGUUCGAACGUGGGUUCUACGAGGCAUAGAACACGAUCCCCCGCCCGCCGCCGAUCCACGUGAGCCAGCUGAUUGCGCAAUAGUGCACGCUGACUUUGACCCCCGUGCAGGCAUGCAUAUCCGGGUCACAGGCGCUUCAUAUUUCAGAGGCAACAUGGCCACGGUAGAAGGAACACGUGAACGUAAAAAAACACCCGAAAAUGCGCAUUUUCUUGGUCAGAACCGCAUUUUCCCCGUAGAAGAGUGGAUAAGUGCCUUCGUCAUUGAACAUCCGACUUAGGCUUGACAAGUGCUGGGAGAAAAUGAAGUACCAGGAAUGAGAAGAGGAUGACAACUCACACAAGUCCUUAUUCAAGGUAGCCCCAAGGCCAGACUAUGCUGACAGCAUAGCCCAGUCUCCAGCCAUGAAAAGCAGAGGUUCACUGUUAUCUGGGGAAAAUGAAAUUAGGAAUACUUUAGAUCCAGGUCAUACUGCUGUCCAUGGUGGCUACUAAGAGAGUCCUGUCAGAAUGUGGAUAGUGUCCAACUUCAACUUCCUCAAUGUCCAUGCCAGGUUCUGUGAUGUCCCAGAGUUGACUCUAGCUAGAUUUUUACAUCACCACUGCUAGCUGCAGUUCAGUUUCCCCCAGUAAAUGAACUUGUCACCUUGCAUGGUUUGUGUGCAUUUAUGUUAAAUACAGACUAAG